GAUGAACGCUGGCGGCGUGCCUAAUACAUGCAAGUCGAGCGAACGGACGAGAAGCUUUCUUCUCUGAUGUUAGCGGCGGACGGGUGAGUAACACGUGGAUAACCUACCUAUAAGACUGGGAUAACUUCGGGAAACCGGAGCUAAUACCGGAUAAUAUUUUGAACCGCAUGGUUCAAAAGUGAAAGACGGUCUUGCUGUCACUUAUAGAUGGAUCCGCGCUGCAUUAGCCAGUUGGUAAGGUAACGGCUUACCAAGGCAACGAUGCAUAGCCGACCUGCGAGGGUGAUCGGCCACACUGGAACUGAGACACGGUCCAGACUCCUACGGGAGGCAGCAGUAGGGAAUCUUCCGCAAUGGGGGAAAGCCUGACGGAGCAAAGCCGCGUGAGUGAUGAAGGUCUUCGGAUCGUAAAACUCUGUUAUUAGGGAAGAACAUAUGUGUAAGUAACUGUGCACAUCUUGACGGUACCUAAUCAGAAAGCCACGGCUAACUACGUG
rnacentral:rRNA from 1 species